UUGCAUACAUGUUGAUACAGCAGUUAGUCGCCACUAUUCCUGUUCCAGGACGAAACAGGAAGAGCCAUCUGCCGCCUCUACAGGGGGUGGGACGCCUCCGUCCCACCCAGAAAAGCCGCCCGUUUGCCCGUGAGAGGGCAUAAUGAGGGUGCGGUCCCUCUUCGUCCCCCGCUGCCUGACUUCUGACACGCUCAAACGUCUGAACGCCCUCCUCUGAGUGCUGGGCUUAAUCACAGGGAGGAUGGAUGGAGGGAUGACAUCAGAGGACUAUGCAGAAGACGAGCCCGGACGACCUGCUCCAAGUGUCCGUAACACGCCGGGGUGGCCGUACUUUAGACCGUGGAGUCCUAAGACGGAUGGCGUUCUGCCUGCCAAAGCGCAGCGCCGGCUCAGGCCGAGUGCUGAGGCAAGCAGCUUCCAGCCCUGAAGGAUGAGCGCUUCGUUCGCCACCGCCGACUGGCUAAUGUCCCGUUUCCAACACCUUAGUCUGAGACUGACUGCGUGAAGACGGGGAACAGAACUCCAAACGGACCCCCCCUCAUCUUUCUGGGUGUUCUAACCAAGCUGUCCCUGAAAGCAUCACUGUGACAUUCAGUCUCUCCUGAUUUAAGGAGCAUUUUUACAACCACAGCAGCAAACAGGUUUACAAAAUAAAAGCUCACCAACUAGAAAGGGAAGAUUUUAUGAUAUCAUGAAUUAGCAAUAAACUACAAAUAUAGUACAAGAAAAAAACAACAUCUUAAAAUAAAAGGAUUAUCUUUACUAGAUUUCAAAAGGCAUUGGUAAAACCUUUGAUGUAUUUACACUCAUUUAUCAUU